rnacentral:rRNA from 1 species
GUUAGGAAUAUUGGACAAUGGGCGCAAGCCUGAUCCAGCCAUGCCGCGUGAGUGAUGAAGGCCUUCGGGUUGUAAACUGCUUUUGUACGGAACGAAACGGUCCUGGUUAAUACCUGGGGCUAAUGACGGUACCGUAAGAAUAAGCACCGGCUAACUACGUGCCAGCAGCCGCGGUAAUACGUAGGGUGCGAGCGUUAAUCGGAAUUACUGGGCGUAAAGCGUGCGCAGGCGGUGCUGUAAGACAGGCGUGAAAUCCCCGGGCUCAACCUGGGAAUUGCGCUUGUGACUGCAGUGCUGGAGUACGGCAGAGGGGGAUGGAAUUCCGCGUGUAGCAGUGAAAUGCGUAGAUAUGCGGAGGAACACCGAUGGCGAAGGCAGUCCCCUGGGCCUGUACUGACGCUCAUGCACGAAAGCGUGGGGAGCAAACAGGAUUAGAAACCCGUGUAGUCC